UUUUAGGUGAUUUUGGUGUUUUUCUGACUUUCCAGAUAUUUUUUUGUUUUUUUUUUUCGAUUUUUUGAGCAUUCCCUGGAAUUUUUAGAGUUCGAGAACCUUCAAUGGCAUGUUGGAGCAUUUUGUGGUAUUGGAGUCCCUUUGGUGACUUUAGAGACAUUUUUGAGUAAAUUGAGGAAAGUAGUUGUCAUUAUCUCUUGAGUG
rnacentral:lncRNA from 1 species